ACCCCUGCAUAUUUUAGAAACUCACCAAUCACCAUGAACUCCGACCGCCUACUUCCCCCGCUUUCAACUCACCACCAUUAGAUGACUGAUCAUCUGAACCCUAAAUCUAUUCGUAUACUAUUGCUCUUCCUAUUAUCUUGUUAUUCUUUUUUCCUUCAAAUCAACAACUGAAGUUAUUGCAAGGAAAAAUAAUAAUCAAGAAUUGGUAUCCUUAAAGCCUAAAUCAUUUUUCUCAAGUAAUACUACUGCAAAAUUCAAGAAGUCGAUAUUGUCUUGAAUUCUUGCCUGCAUUCCUUUUAAGAAAAAAAUCUUUUUAAAUUACAUUGCUAUUCAUAAAUGCAUAUUUUAAGGAAAUCAAAGAAACGGUAGUUUUCAAGAAUGUAUUGGCAUUGUACGAAUUAAGGAAAUUCAAGAAAUCUUUAAAAAAAAAAUUAUGUUGUUAUUCUUGCAGAUAGAGCACACUACCGUUCUGGACUGUGAUUUUCUUGAGCUGAGGUCUAUUAGAAACAACUUCUUGAGUCCCCCACAAAGGACUGGGGGUAAGUUCUAUCUAGCUAUGCUAGCUUUCAAUUAUAGGAUAAGGUCAGUUGCUUUGUCUUCUUUUUCCUGGUUUAAUCUGAGGUUUAGGAGAAAGAAUUGGCCGAAAGAGUCUUGUGAAGUCUAAAAAGGCAAGAAUGAGGCAGCAGAGAGUAUGGUAUUUCUAUCAAGGUCAAGAAUGAGGCAUUUGAAUGAAAUGUUGGAUUUUUGAGGGGUGGUUGCCUUCCUUCUCUGGCAAGCCCUGAUUUUUUUUGAAGUUUUGCUUUUUAUGUUGAGGAGUUACUUUUCAACAGCCUUGAUGCUGGUACCACCAAGAUGGGCUGCUGAGAAUAUGGCAAGAGAGUCUGUAAGAAUUUCACGGGAAGGUCCUGUCUAAAAAAAAUGAGGCCAACAACCUAUCUUGAUCCAGAGCGAGAAUUGAUAUAUUUAUUUUGAUAAUAGGUCAUGUUUGAAGUUGGUUACCAAUUACUGUACAACUAUGCCGACCAAAUUCAAAACUGGGGUUGGAUGUACAACAUUCAUUCUCAAGCUUCAAGAUCAUUUAUCAGGAACUUAAAUCUUAUCCACAAGCAACCAACAUCUGUCACACUUUUUGUGGGCAAGUUUGAAAAGUAAACUUGUUAACAUCUGGAAUAGCAAAUUACAAGCUCAAGGAGAGGGCAAAGGGUACACGUGAUGGGAGUCAAAAGAAGAAUUUGCACCAACAAAAACUCUAAGUUUCUUAGAUUCUGGGAUAAAAUGGAGGGACUUCCGUCCAGAGAUCACAGUGAUUCAUUGGUUCCUGAUACAAUUGAUAAAACUGCGUGGAGGGUGCGAAAGUUCUCCAACAGGUUGAUAAGAAGUUUAUCCUACAAUUGAUCAGGUCUACUUUGUCCUUUGCAUAGUCCCUUAUGGCCAUUCUUGGUUUCUCAUGAUUUUUCUUGUAACACAUUUACUUUAAACAAUUGUUUCUCAGGAAUCCUUUGGUUGAACUCAUUAUCUUAUAUAAAUCCCAGCAUAAACUUCUGCAUAAAUAGUAUAGGAAUCGUUUGGUUGGACUCGUUAGCAAAUAUAAACCUCAACAUAAACUUCCGCAUAAAUAGUAUACCAUUUGUUGGCUGCAUAAGAAAAAGUAGUAUCCGCAUGACUAUGUAGCUCUCAGUUAUCCGCAUAAGAAAAAAUAAGCUCGACAUAACUAAUGCAACAUUUGGUUGACUGUACUUAACUGUUCAUUAUUAAUAUCCUCAUGACUUAUGAUUUUAUUAUUUUACUAGGUAUUUAAUGGAAAGUUGUGGAGUUGUUCUUGAAGGCCCCACUCGAACAACUUAAAUUUUUUUAGUAGUUUAAUUAUAAGAAGUUGUUAUUUGUAGUAUUUUGAAUGAAGACAUUCGAUUGGACAGGCUUCUGUAAACACCCUCAGUAGCCAUUUUCUUUACAUGGUCUAAACCUUUUCUUUUCUUUGAAAUGAACAUGGUCUAGAUUUUUUGAUUUUGAUUGUUUCUUAAAAGUUGAAAAUUGUGCCAUGUAAGAGACUGGGGAAUUAUAUGUUGUCUGAUUUUGUUAAUGUUUUGAGGAUCAAUAGACGUGGGCUGCUGAGAAUAUGGCAACUGGUAAGUAUUAGUUUCUUUGACAUUGAUCUAAUGCAUUAAUGUGCAGAAAGUUCUGCUCAGUUAUUACCUUACUUCAUCAUCUGAAGUUGUACUUCCUAUUGAAGAAUCUUGUGUUUCACGAGAUGGACUGGUGCUGAUGGGAGAAAGUUAUGGAUCUGGUGCCUCACGAGAUGGACUGGUGCUGAUAGGAGAAAGACAUGCCAUUCAGAUGAUAUGCAUGCUUCCCCAGCAAGCUUUGACUGAAAAGGAGAGGCUCUAAGCUCUUAGAUUUCUGACAUGUCUUUGUUGGAUAUUGGUACUAAAACUCACGGGAGGCCAAAUGGAUAUUGUAAGGUUUUAAAGGACGGCAAGUGUUUGUACCUUGGAAAUGAUGAUUGUUGAAGAAUAAUUGUACAACAGUGAGGAUGACCUGCUUUGCAUACAUGCUUCUCCUACUCUGUUGCCUCUAUUGUCCGGUGGGUAGGGAUUCAUCUGAGUUCCCUUAACAAAUUGAAUGCAAGGGAUGGUUUAUUCAAGCUCUCCAGAUACAUCUCAGGUCCUGAUAUUUACACAGUGAAGGUAUACAGGCCCAAAUUGAUGGAUAAGAGGUGUGAAGAGAAUGUUAAGAAUUAUUUGAUACCAUGAGCUAUGCUCUCCUCUAGGGUGGAUGGAGACUUGCAUAAAUAGAUUGAUGCUAGAAAUCGAGGUAAAAUGGAUGAGCUUAUAAGGAAGACACAGAGUAGAAGAAAUCAUUCAGCUCUCCAUUUUACCAAGGCAAGAAUAAGUUCUUUGCCAUGAGUGAGUCUUCUAGAAAUAACAGUAUUAAGACUGUUCAUGAUGUGCCACUCGUGCCAGAGUAUUAAGGAGACUGCAUCAUUCUGCAGAAGCUAUCUGCUGGGAGCUUCCACAGCAGUCAUCCCAUCAGUGUGAUCAAUCUUCCACCCCAAGUUGUGGUGAUGGUGUAUUCUCUGAUAAAAGAUAAAUGUUAUCAAAUUUCUUGGGAGGGUUAGGUCCCUUUUUGAUAUUAUUUUAAUCAAAUAUGUCAGUAACUCACACGACUUGAUGUUUCUCUCUUCAGGCCAAGUGUGAAAAGGAAACUUGUUUACAUCUGAAUAGCAAAUUACAAGCUCAAGGGGAGUGCACACGUACACAUGACGGGGAGUCAGAAGAAGAACGGUACUGGAACAAGGAAUCUUAAGAAUCAGGCUACUAUACUCAAUGUCCUUUCUGGUGUCUUGCAUUUUGUUGGCGAUUCAUUGAUUCGUGAUACCAUUGAUGGCAAUCUGCUGGGAGCUUCCACGGCAGUCAUCCUAUCAAUGUGAUCAAUCUUCCACCCCAAGUUGUGGUGACAGUGUGUUAUCAAAUUUCUUGGGAGGGUUAGCGAAAAUUCAAAACUGGGGUUGGAUUUCCAACAUUCAUUCUCAAGCGUCAAAAUCAUUUACCAGCCUUUUGAGCUGCUGUUACUGCUAUUUCCUUGGGAUUUUAACCCAAUAACAUGUCUUCCCUUUCAAGACUCCGAUGGAGGUUUACUCAAGAAGAGGAAUAUACAAGAGAGGGGAGUUCGUAUGGACUUGAACAGGAUAGUUCAUGCCAAGUCAAAAGAAGAAGAAAGGAUUAGCAAGUGACUUUGAUAAUACACGUGAACUAUGAACCUUAACGACAUAUUUUUUUUUUU